GAUCUGGCUCAGGAUGAACGCUGACAGAAUGCUUAACACAUGCAAGUCUACUUGAACUUCGGUUUGGGUGGCGGACGGGUGAGUAACGCGUAAAGAACUUGCCUCACAGUUAGGGACAACAUUUGGAAACGAAUGCUAAUACCUGAUAUUAUGAUUUUAGGGCAUCCUAAGAUUAUGAAAGUUAUAUACGCUGUGAGAGAGCUUUGCGUCCCAUUAGCUAGUUGGAGAGGUAACGGCUC
rnacentral:rRNA from 1 species